rnacentral:lncRNA from 1 species
CCUCCCCCUCUGUCCUGUCUUCCUCUCCUUCCUCCUCGUCGUCCUCCGCCAUAGUGGCGAGCACGACAACAGCCACGCCUCACGCCCUCACCUCCAAUCAUUGGCCUCCCCAACCCAACCUCUCCCCGCCCCGUCCUGUUGAGCCGGGUGAUUGACGGAUUAUUAGUUAAUCCGGGGGCUUCACCUCGUUUUAGCGGCCUCGUUCGUUCGCCUCCGCAAAAGGCUAACGCCAGCCCGGGCGCGCGCUAACGGCAGCAACGACAGCAACCCGCUGGCUAGCUAGUCCUCCCCACGAUUCGACUCCGCCACCGUCCCCGGCCCAGGCUGGCUUUGAGGAUUCAUCUUUUCUCCCCCCCCC